CCUACGGGGGGCAGCAGUGGGGAAUAUUGCACAAUGGGGGAAACCCUGAUGCAGCGACGCCGCGUGAGUGAAGAAGGAUUUCGGUAUGUAAAGCUCUAUCAGCAGGGAAGAAAAUGACGGUACCUGAUUAAGAAGCUCCGGCUAACUACGUGCCAGCAGCCGCGGUAAUACGUAGGGGGCAAGGGUUAUCCGGAUUUACUGGGGGGAAAGGGAGCGUAGACGGCAGUACAAGUCUGGAGUGAAAUGCCGGGGCUUAACCCCGGAACUGCUUUGGAAACUGUGCAGCUAGAGUGCAGGAGAGGUAAGUGGAAUGCCUGGUGUAGCGGUGAAAUGCGCAGAGAUUAGGAGGAACACCAGUGGCGAAGGCGGCUUACUGGGCUGUAACUGACGUUGAGGCUCGAAAGCGUGGGGAGCAAACAGGAUUAGAUACCCUGGUAGUC
rnacentral:rRNA from 1 species